rnacentral:rRNA from 1 species
GACGAACGCUGGCGGCGUGCUUAACACAUGCAAGUCGAACGGUGAACCUCUUCGGAGGGGAUCAUUUGCUAACGGGUGAGUAACACGUUGGCAACCUGCCCCCGUCUCUGGUAUAACUCCAAGACUUUGGGGCUAAUACCGUAUGUUCACCGCUUCCCGCAUGGCUUGUGGUUGAAAGGUUUUCCGGCUUGGGAUGGGCCCGAGGCCUAUCAGCUUGUUGGUGUGGUAUUGGCCUUCCAAGGCGAAGUCGGGUAGCCGACCUGAGAGGGUGACCGGCCACACUGGGACUGAGACACGGCCCAGAAGCGUACGGGAGGCAGCAGUGGGGAAUAUGGCGCAAUGGGAGGAAGCGUGACGCAGAGAAGCCGCGUGGGGGAUGACGGCCUUCGGGUUGUAAACAUCUUUCAGCAGGGACGAAGCGAAAGUGACGGUACCUGAAGAAGAAGCACCGGCCAACUACGUG